GUCCCGUGGUGUAGUGGCCAAUCAUAAUGGCCUUUGGAGCCAUUGACGGCGGUUCGAAUCCGCAUAAAUCGCCACCA
rnacentral:tRNA from 1 species